UACGGGGGGGGCAAGCGUUGUUCGGAUUCAUUGGGCGUAAAGGGUGCGUAGGCGGCGCGGUAAGUCGGGUGUGAAAUCUCGGAGCUUAACUCCGAAACUGCAUUCGAUACUGCCGUGCUCGAGGACUGGAGAGGAGACUGGAAUUUACGGUGUAGCGGUGAAAUGCGUAGAUAUCGUAAGGAAGACCAGUGGCGAAGGCGGGUCUCUGGACAGUUCCUGACGCUGAGGCACGAAGGUCAGGGGAGCAAACGGG
rnacentral:rRNA from 1 species